rnacentral:lncRNA from 1 species
UGAUAUACAAAAGAAUAUCCAUGUUGGCACAUGGAAGCAACUACACCUGCAAAUAGCAACGCUUUCAGAAGGCUGAGCAUGCGAUAACAUAGCCAAACAAAGGUUGCUAGGAUGGGGAAGGGUUAGAGGCUUUUCAUAGCAAUGUUGGGAGGCUUUACAUAAUAGGUGGUAGGCAGCGAGAUAUAGCGACACGAACGAGACAACUAGUAUUGAAGUGGUGUCUAGGAAAAUGAUCAUCUUUCUUGUGAUCCUGCUUGGAAGAAGAACGAAUCCGUGAAGUACUCGAACCACGCAGCCCUGAAAAUCCACAUUUGAAUUACUUAGUUUACUACCGUUUAGGUACACGACAAUAAACUACACUAUCUAGGCAUUUUAAAUGAUGUUGGAAACAACAAAUAUCAUUUCCGAAAUGACCCAUAUGUUUAUUUUGAAAUUUCUCCAGAUCUAAACUAAAGACAUUUAUAUUUAUUAAACAUCAAAAUAAAGUGUACCACGUGAUUCUACACGUCAUUCUAGUCGAUUUACAUAUAUAGAUAAUCCAAAACAGAGUUAUGGUCUAAAAGAUAUGACCAACACAAUAUAAUAUGUGAUGAAUGCAAAAUGUGUGCAAAUGACAUCCAUAAACAUGAUAAAUCAUGGAUGCAACAAGAUAUUAUGGAACUAAAUGAAAUUCUAGGCAAGUACAAAUGAGGCUGGAACAACGCAUAACAAUUCUGGGCAAUCCCCAUAUGCAAAUUAAGAUUCCUAUACUGUUCUGCCUAUAACAAUUUUAAUGUUGUUAAAAGCAAAAUAAAUGUCACCAUGGCAUUCUACACGUUUUUUUAGUCAAGUUACAUAUGUGGGUCAUUCUAAUCAGAGCUACAGUUAAUUAAUUAUGAGACAAGCCGUUUAAAGA